CCGUAGGUCUAAGUAUAAGCAACUAUACUGUGAAACUGCGAAUGGCUCAUUAAAUCAGUUAUCGUUUAUUUGAUAGUACCUUUUACAUGGAUACCUGUGGCAAUUCUAGAGCUAAUACAUGCAUAAAACCUCGACUUUCGAAGAGGCGUACAUAUUAGAUUAAAAACCAAUGCCCUUCGGGGCUAAACGGUGAAUCAUGAUAUUUAAACGAAGCAUAUGGCCUUGUGCCGAUGCUGGUUCAUUCAAAUUUCUGCCCUAUCAACUUUUGAUGUUAGUUUAGUGGACUAACAUGGUUUCAACGGGUAACGGACAAUAAGGGUUGGAUUCCGGAGAGGGAGCCUGAGAAACGGCUACCGUGCGUUUUUCCCCCUUCUCUGAAAUCGCUCAUUGCUAACGUUCUAUAUAGACAUCUAAGGAAGGCAGCAGGCGCGCAAAUUACCCAAUCCCAAUCCGGGGAGGUAGUGACAAAAAAUACUGAUUGCGAACUCUUUUGGGUUUGCAAAUCGGAAUGAGUACAAUCUAAAUCCCUUAACGAGGAACAAUUGGAGGGCAAGUCUGGUGCCAGCAGCCGCGGUAAUUCCAGCUCCAAUAGCGUAUAUUAAAGUUGUUGCAGUUAAAAAGCUCGUAGUUGAACCUUGGGUCUGGCUGUUCGGUCCGCCUCACAGCGUGUACUGGUUCGGCCGGACCUUUCCUUCUGGGGAACCGCAUGCCCUUCACUGGGUGUGUUGGGGAUCCAGGACUUUUACUUUGAAAAAAUUAGAGUGUUCAAAGCAGGCCUAUGCUCGAAUACAUUAGCAUGGAAUAAUAGAAUAGGACGUGCGUCCUCAUUUUGUUGGUUUCUGAGGGCGCCGUAAUGAUUAAUAGGGCCGGCCGGGGCCAUCGGUAUUCAGCUGUCAGAGGUGAAAUUCUUAGAUUCUCUGAAGACCAACUACUGCGAAAGCAUUUGGCAAGAACGGUUUCAUUAAUCAGUGAACGAAAGUUGUGGGAUCGAAGACGAUCAGAUACCGUCGUAGUCUCAACCAUAAACUAUGCCGGCUAGAGAUCAGAUGGUGUUAUUAUUUUGACCCAUCUGGCAUCUUGUGAGAAAUCAAAGCGUGGUUCUGGGGGGAGUAUGGUCGCAAGGCUGAAACUUAAAGAAAUUGACGGAAAGGCACCACCAGGCGUGGAGCCUGCGGCUUAAUUUGACUCAACACGGGGAAACUCACCAGGUCCAGAUUCAAAAAGGAUUGACAGAUUGAAAGCUCUUUCUUGAUCUUGAAGGUGGUGGUGCAUGGCCGUUCUUAGUUGGUGGAGUGAUUUGUCUGCUUAAUUGCGAUAACGAACGAGACCUUAACCUGCUAAAUAGCCACACUAGCUUUGGCUGGUGGCCGGCUUCUUAGAGGGACUUUCGGCUCAAGCCGAAGGAAGUUUGAGGCAAUAACAGGUCUGUGAUGCCCUUAGAUGUUCUGGGCUGCACGCGCGCUACACUGACGGAGCCAACGAGUACAUUACCUUGGCCGAAAGGUCUGGGCAAUCUUGUUAAACUCCGUCGUGCUGGGGAUAGUCCAUUGCAAUUAUUGGACUUCAACGAGGAAUGCCUAGUAAGCGCAAGUCAUCAGCUUGCGUUGAUUACGUCCCUGCCCUUUGUACACACCGCCCGUCGCUACUACCGAUCGAACGGCUUAGUGAGGCUGUCGAAUUGGCCCCAGGAGGUCGGAAACGACCACCAAGGGCCGAGAAGUCAGUCAAACUUGGUCGUUUAGAAGAAGUAAAAGUC
rnacentral:rRNA from 1 species